rnacentral:rRNA from 1 species
GGGUUUAAUUCGAUGAUACGCGAGGAACCUUACCCGGGCUUGAAUUGCAGAGGAAGGAUUUGGAGACAAUGACGCCCUUCGGGGCCUCUGUGAAGGUGCUGCAUGGUUGUCGUCAGCUCGUGCCGUGAGGUGUCGGCUUAAGUGCCAUAACGAGCGCAACCCCUCUCCUUAGUUGCCAUCAGGUAAAGCUGGGCACUCUGGGGACACUGCCACCGUAAGGUGUGA